GCAGUGGUAGCUUAGUGGGUAAGAUGUUGGACUACCGCUCGGAAGGUUGUGAGUUCAAACCACAUGCCAAGCU